UGAGCUUCCACCUCUGUAUUUGU
rnacentral:misc_RNA from 1 species